CCUACGGGAGGCAGCAGUAGGGAAUCUUUCACAAUGGGCGAAAGCCUGAUGGAGCAACGCCGCGUGCAGGAUGAAGGCCUUCGGGUUGUAAACUGCUUUUAUAAGCGAGAAAUAUGAUGGUAACUUAUGAAUAAGGAUCGGCUAACUACGUGCCAGCAGCCGCGGUCAUACGUAGGAUCCGAGCAUUAUCCGGAGUGACUGGGUGUAAAGAGUUGCGUAGGUGGCAUAAUAAGUAGCUAGUGAAAUCUGGUGGCUCAACCAUUCAGACUAUUAGCUAAACUGUUAAGCUCGAGACCGUUAGAGGUAACUGGAAUUUCUAGUGUAGGGGUGAAAUCCGUAGAUAUUAGGAGGAACACCAAUCGCGUAGGCAGGUUGCUGGGACGGUUCUGACACUAAGGCACGAAAGCGUAGGGAGCAAACAGGAUUAGAUACCCUAGUAGUC
rnacentral:rRNA from 1 species